rnacentral:rRNA from 1 species
CCAUUUAAAGUGGUACGCGAGCUGGGUUUCGAACGUCGUGAGACAGUUCGGUCCCUAUCUGCCGUGGGCGCUGGAGAAUUGAGGGGGGCUGCUCCUAGUACGAGAGGACCGGAGUGGACGCAUCACUGGUGUUCGGGUUGUCAUGCCAAUGGCACUGCCCGGUAGCUAAAUGCGGAAGAGAUAAGUGCUGAAAGCAUCUAAGCACGAAACUUGCCCCGAGAUGAGUUCUCCCUGAGACUUUAAGUCU